rnacentral:tRNA from 1 species
GGUGGCGUAGCCAAGUGGUUAGGCAACGGUUUGCAAAACCGUCAUACGGGGGUUCGAAUCCCCCGCCACCUCCA